rnacentral:rRNA from 1 species
CGAAUCUUUGAACGCACCUUGCACUCUUUGGUAUUCCGAAGAGUAUGUCUGUUUGAGUAUCAUGAAACUCUCAAACCCCCCUAUUUUGUAAUGAAAUGGGCGUGGGCUUGGAUUAUGGUUGUCUGUCGGCGUAAUUGCCGGCUCAACUGAAAUA